GAUGAACGCUAGCGGCAGGCCUAACACAUGCAAGUCGAGGGGCAGCGGGAAGGAGCUUGCUCCUUUGCCGGCGACCGGCGCACGGGUGCGCAGCGCGUAUGGAACCUGCCCUUUACAGGG
rnacentral:rRNA from 1 species